rnacentral:rRNA from 1 species
CACAUGCAAGUCAAGGGGGCCCAGCAAUGGGCAACCGGCGAACGGGUGCGUAACACGUGAGCAACCUACCGAACUGUGGGGGAUAGCCGGCCUAACGGCCGAGUAAUACCGCAUACGCUUUCAGUGAGGCAUUUCAUUGAAAGGAAACCUACGGGACAGAUCGAGGGGCUCGCGGCCUAUCAGCUAGUUGGCGAGGUAACGGCUCACCAAGGCAACGACGGGUAGCUGGUCUGAGAGGAUGGCCAGCCACAUUGGGACUGAGAUACGGCCCAGACUCCUACGGGAGGCAGCAGUGGGGAAUCUUGCGCAAUGGCCUAACGGCUGACGCAGCGACGCCGCGUGUGGGAUGAAGCUCCUCGGAGUGUAAACCACUGUUGCCCGGGACGAAUAGCUCGAUUAAUCGAGCCUGACGGUACCGGGUGAGGAAGCACCGGCUAACUCCGUGCCAGCAGCCGCGGUAAUACGGGGGGUGCGAGCGUUGUCCGGAAUCACUGGGCGUAAAGGGCGCGUAGGUGGUUUGAUAAGGGUGUGGUGAAAGUCCGGGGCUCAACCCCGGAUCUGCCGUGCCGACUGUCAAACUCGAGGGCUGUAGAGGCAGGCGGAAUUCCGGGUGUAGCGGUGGAAUGCGUAGAGAUCCGGAGGAAGACCGGUGGCGAAGGCGGCCUGCUGGGCAGU